AUGGGUUACAUCUCAAAUGGACAAGUAUUGGACAGCGGAGUCCGUCUCCAUGGAGAAUAUCUUUGAUAACAGAUUUCUUCUGGGGAAUAGCUGAGUUUGUGGUUUUGUUUUUCAAAACUCUGCUUCAGCAAGAUGUGAAGAAAAGAAGAAGCUAUGGAAACUCAUCCGAUUCCAGAUACGAUGAUGGAAGAGGGCCACCAGGAAAUCCUCUCUGAAGAAUGGGUCGAAUCAAUCAUCUGCAAGGCCCCAGUCCUCCUCCUAUGGCUGGUGGAUGAGGAAGGUAAAUGUCUGCUCUAAGAAGCAGACAAAUGGACAAGCACAUUCAUAGCAGAAGGAAACCAUCAAGAGGUGAAGGGCUGACCACAGUGGACAAGUAGAUGAAUGUGUGCGUCUAAACAAGGAUUGCUCUGUGUUUUCACAGAUGAAUGAGGUCAGGCUGGGAAUUCUCUAUGCAGGGAACUGGCCUGACUGACAUGCAGUUCUAUAAAUGCACUUUUUGUCUCAUCUUUUUUGUAUAGUUUACUAAAGUAUUAAUAGUUUAAUAAGUAAAUAUUUUUAGGUU